GAUGAACGCUGGCGGCGUGCCUAACACAUGCAAGUCGAACGGAGUCCAGCCUUUAAGACCUUCGGGUCAAAGAGGGGAAGACUGAGUGGCGGACGGGUGAGUAACACGUGGGCAACCUGGCUCAUAGAGGGGGAUAACAGAGAGAAAUUACUGCUAAUACCGCAUAAGCACACACUGCCGCAUGGCAGAGGGUGAAAAGAGAAUCGCUAUGAGAUGGACCCGCGUCUGAUUAGCCAGUUGGCAGGGUAAGAGCCUACCAAAGCGACGAUCAGUAGCCGAUCUGAGAGGAUGAACGGCCACAUUGGGACUGAGACACGGCCCAAACUCCUACGGGAGGCAGCAGUGGGGGAUAUUGCACAAUGGGGGGAACCCUGAUGCAGCGACGCCGCGUGAGUGAAGAAGUAUUUCGGUAUGUAAAGCUCUAUCAGCAGGGAAGAUAAUGACAGUACCUGAAUAAGAAGCCCCGGCUAACUACGUG
rnacentral:rRNA from 1 species